UUUGUCUUUUUAGUGAACAGAACUCAGCAGGAUGCAAACACUGGACUGACCCUGACCACCGCAGUGACUCCAAACCCCAGAGAGGACACGGCUGACCCUGAAGACGGUGUCGCCUACGCCUCCAUCAACUACACCGCCAACACCAACAGGAAAGCCCAGGAGAAAGAUGACGCUGAUGAGGCUGAU